CCGACCUUAGUUCAGUUGGUAGAGCGGAGAACUGUAGUUUGUAACUGUUAUCCUUAGGUCGCUGGUUCGAAUCCGGUAGGUUGGA
rnacentral:tRNA from 1 species